GACGAACGCUGGCGGCGUGCUUAACACAUGCAAGUCGAACGGAAAGGCCCUGCUUUUGUGGGGUGCUCGAGUGGCGAACGGGUGAGUAACACGUGAGUAACCUGCCCUUGACUUUGGGAUAACUUCAGGAAACUGGGGCUAAUACCGGAUAGGAGCUCCUGCUGCAUGGUGGGGGUUGGAAAGUUUCGGCGGUUGGGGAUGGACUCGCGGCUUAUCAGCUUGUUGGUGAGGUAGUUGCUUACCAAGGCUUUGACGGGUAGCCGGCCUGAGAGGGUGACCGGCCACCUUGGGACUGAGAUACGGCCCAGACUCCUACGGGAGGCAGCAGUGGGGAAUAUUGCACAGUGGGCGGAAGCCUGAUGCAGCAACGCCGCGUGCGGGAUGACGGCCUUCGGGUUGUAAACCGCUUUCGCCUGUGACGAAGCGUGAGUGACGGUAAUGGGUAAAGAAGCACCGGCUAACUACGUG
rnacentral:rRNA from 1 species